GACGAAGAACGUAGCGAAACGCGAUAAGUAAUGUGAAUUGCAGAGUUCAGUGAAUCAUCGAAUCUUUGAACGCACAUUGCGCCCGUCAGUAUUCUGACGGGCAUGCCUGUCCGAGCGUCAUUUCAACCCUCAAGCACUGCUUGGCGUUGGCGGAUUGCGUGCCCUCGCGGCGCUGCAACCGCCCAAAUACAGUGGCGGUCCCGCUGCGGCUCCCUUUGCGUAGUAACUCACCUCGCACUGGACCGGGCGGCGGCCUGCCGUAAAACCCCAACUCACGAAAUGUUGACCUCGGAUCAGGUAGGAAUACCCGCUGAACUUAAGCAUAUCAAUAAGCGGAGGA
rnacentral:misc_RNA from 1 species